GACUCUUUGCCACUGUAGGCGGAAAUCGGGCGAGUGUUCCAUAUGUUGUUUAUAUCUCCAAAAUCCGUAGGAAAACGGAAUGCGCCACUGAAUAGAAAUUUCGACAGUGGCCCGUGUUCUAUCUUUGAACCAUUUGAGCUUCAAUGAGUUAUCUUCUUGGUGUUUCAGUCAGUGGGUUUUAUUCUAGGGAUAUGUUUGAUUGAAUGCUGCGUCGUACGAUUACGAAUUUUGUUUGAUUCUGUUUAUCUUUUGAUUUCUUCGAAAUUUUCAAUUGCCUUCACUCCCAAUUCUACUCUUGAAGAAGGAAAAGAAUUCCGAUGCAUGUGUACUAGACGAGAAACGGUUACUGUUUACUAAUGUCCGGAAUGAAGAUAUCAAUGUUGAUGGCUCUCCAUUUGUUGUUGCUGGUGGAAUCGAUGUUAUAAUCCGUGUUAUUGAUGCUGCCACUGAAAGAUAAUACAAGGUAUCAUCAUAUAAACCACCUAGGACUUCAAAUUAUGAUACACUCUUUGCUGUGAUUGAUCAUGUGACAUCUAGAGUUUAGUUGGAAGCUAUCUAAAGAUCUCACUAUUAGUUUGUUUCAAAGAUUUGAUCGGUUUUGGUGAAUAGAUUUUAGCCUUUGCGCUUUUCCUUUCAAGUUAGUUCAGAGCUCAUUUUAGCCAUCUAGAACAUGUACAGAGAGAUACUUUACCAAAGCUCAUUUUGCAUUCAAUUAUUAACUAGUUGAUUAUCUGUUAGUUUAGUAUUAUCUGGUGAUUUCUAGCAGAAGGAAAUGAACUAACCUGCUUAUGAAGUGGAAAUUUUCUAUUAUAACACUUACAUGUUGCUGAAUUAGACAGGAAAAGUGGGAAUUAGUCCCUUCUUUCACCCUUUGAGUCCUAUAAAGAACCAACCAGUUUUUCCAACCCCUUUUUGUUUGAAACAAAACAAGCAGAGAAAGCCAUAUCUUUAUAAACAAAUCAGUUGGCUGGUCACAACUUAUGCCACAGUAAAAAGAUGUUCUUAGAUUGGAACCUUGCUUUCAACAAGUGCAUGAUUUGUCAUCAAACCAGUUGAUUUGUUUUCUGGAUUAGAUUUUAAAUUAUUCCCCCAAUGCAACUUGUAGUUUGUGCAAGUUGAGGUUUGGAGAAAAUCCAAAGUUAGGAAUUGUUUGGCCAAAGAGGAAAAAAAAAAAAGGGUGAGAGAGAGUUUAGAAGAAAACUCUAGGAAUUUGUACUCAUAUUUUGAAGUUUGAUUGGCAUAACAAUCACUUACUGAGAACAGAGAAUAU